CAAUAGCGUAUAUUAAAGUUGUUGCAGUUAAAAAGCUCGUAGUUGGAUUUCUGGUAGGAGUGACCGUGCCAGACUUGAUUGUCUGUGUAUUGUGUUGUCUCCAGCCAUCCUUGUGGAGAACUUUUCUUGCAUUAAUUUGUAGGGAUUGGGACCCGCAUCGUUUACUGUGAAAAAAUUAGAGUGUUUAAAGCAGGCAAUCGCUUGAAUACAUUAGCAUGGAAUAAUACGAUAGGACUUUGGUACUAUUUUGUUGGUUUGCAUACCAAAUUAAUGAUCAACAGGAACAGUUUGAGGAUAUUCGUAUGAACAUGUCAGAGGUGAAAUUCUUGGAUUUUGAUCAGACGAACUACUGCGAAAGCAUUUAUCAAGGAUGUUUUCAUUAA
rnacentral:rRNA from 1 species